rfam:Prevotella saccharolytica F0055 genomic scaffold Scfld34, whole genome shotgun sequence.
GGUUGUAUCGAUUAGAUUGGGGUACUCUUCAAAACAAAAUCGAAAACCGAGAAGAUUUCUUUUGCUAAUGGCGGGCCACAAACCUUACGGUUAGCUGUAAAGCCGGUGGAUUACAAAGGCGGAGAACUCUCAAAUCAUGUAUAGCUCAGAGUUUUCAUCACAUCAUCGAUAUGACCCUCUUU